GACGAACGCUGGCGGCGUGCUUAAUACAUGCAAGUCGAACGGAAAGGCCCUGCUUUUGUGGGGUGCUCGAGUGGCGAACGGGUGAGUAACACGUGAGUAACCUGCCCUUGACUUUGGGAUAACUUCAGGAAACUGGGGCUAAUACCGGGUAGGAUCUCCUGCUGCAUGGUGGGGGUUGGUAAGUUUCGGCGGUAGGGGCUGGAUUCGCAGCUUAUCAGCUUGUUGGUGGGGUAGUGGCUUACCAGGGCUUUGACGGGUAGCCGGCCUGGGAGGGUGACCGGGCACCUGAGGACUGCGAUACGGACCAGAAUCGAACGGGACGCAGUAGGGGGGAGUAUUGCGCAGUGGGGGGAAGCCAGAUGCAACAACGCCGCGUGCGGGAUGACGGCCUUCGGGUUGUAAACCGAUUUCGCCUGUGACGAACCGUGAGUGACGGUAAUGGGUAAAGAAGCCCCGGCUAACUACGUG
rnacentral:rRNA from 1 species